CAACAUAAUGUUGUGAUCCUAAAUGGUAAACAACAGGUAACAGUCAACAUAAUGUUGUAUUCCUAAAUGGUAAACAACAGGUAACAGUCAACAUAAUGUUGUAUUCCUAAAUGGUAAACAACAGGUAACAGUCAACAUAAUGUUGUAUUCCUAAAUGGUAAACAACAGGUAACAGUCAACAUAAUGUCACCUUCCUAAAUGGUAAACAACAGGUAACAGUCAACAUAAUGUUGUAUUCCUAAAUGGUAAACAACAGGUAACAGUCAACAUAAUGUCACAUUCCAAAAUGGUAAACAAUGUUGUUUUCCCUAAUUAUUUUUUUUGUUUUCCACAGUUGCUAUUUCUCUACCAGUCUUUAUUGACUAAGAGAAGCACAUAAUGCUAUUGGAAAGCUUCAAAUGGGACUGAGAGAUUACACAAACGUAAUCAUGAAUGAAUUUGUCUCCGUCCUGUCUCAGUAAAAAUGUACUUUCUUUCUUUCUUUAACAAUAAAGGUGUCUAAAGGACGAGACGGUCAAGGUUUAUCCCGGGAACCGAACCCAAUUCUACUUUGAGGUCCAGGCCUUCAAAUUCACUGGGAGCUACGACCAGGUGUUCCUCACCUGUACCGUCAUCCUGUGUGAGGUAGGAAACCCCAACUCUAGGUGUGACCAGGGCUGCCUGAACAAAGCCUCGCGGAGGCGCAGGCGAGAUCUCCCCAACGGAGAGACAGACAGGCACUACAUUACCCAGGGUCCUUUCCGUGUGGUCAGAGAGACCCAGCCCAGUGCAGACCAGAAGACAGGUGCAGGUGAAAAGACCGGUGCAGAUGUGGAAGCUACAUAUUUUCUCAGAUCGGACAUGGGAACCAUAGUCUUCGCCGGGCUGUUCAUCAUGACCGUGAUUCUGCUGACAGUGGUCGUGGUCUAUUUUUUGAAGAAGAGCAGAGCUGAAGAACACGAGGCUCUCAUUGCAUAUGAUUAGAGAAAUGUAACUGGGUUUGUGCCUGACCAGGGUCACUUCUGGUUUACCAAAAGUAAAGCACACCUUUCUUUUAGUUGUACUUUCAACAACAAAU
rnacentral:lncRNA from 13 species